UGAUCCUCUCUGGUAUGAGAAUACCAGCACUCCAUUGAAUGAAGCAUGUUGGAGAGGAUUAAAAGAUGAAGUACAACGAUUGAUUGACAAGACUGGCCUUCAGGAAAGAGAAUUCUCCAACUAAAAAGAGUCCAGACUCACUAGUGAAGUACAUGGUUGAUGUAGCAAUGGGAAUGCACUACAUAGCAGAGAGAGGACUAGUACACAGAGAUCUAGCAGCUCAUAA